CCUGAUUUGGUCUUCAUGGUUACCCUUACAAAAACACUGACUUUGCUUUUUGUUGGGGUAGUUUUGCUGA
rnacentral:pre_miRNA from 1 species